rnacentral:lncRNA from 1 species
AGGCUUCAUCUAGACUAAAUUCAUCAUCCCCAAAGCCUCCAACUUCUUCUCCGAAACCACCUUCAUCUUCCUCUACACCAACAGCUUCUUCCAAACCAUCUUUGUCUUCCUCAUUUACUUCAUCGUCCCCUAACCCUCCAACGUCUUCGUUUAAACCUCAGAAAUCUUCUUCUCUGAAUGCAUCAUCUCAGUUUUCUCCUAAAUUAUCUACAUCCGCCUCUAACCCAUCUCCGGCAUCUGCUUCUUCAAUUCAAUGUCCAUCUCCUCUACUGGACGUCCCGUAUCUUCCACUAAGCUCCAUCCAAUGUUUAAGCCAGCUCUAUCUCACGCCUCUUCAGAUGUAUUAGAUCAGAUGGGGAAGAAAAGUUAUGUAUGGGUUGAGAAGGAUUCAUUACCUAUCUUCGCAAUUCCUGACAAUAUAAAAGAUUUGAUCAAAAAUGACAUUGCGCCGAAGGUUCUAAACCAGCCUCUGUCUCCCGCGACUUAUAAGGAUUAUUUCGCUGCUCUCUUAUAUGCUGAAGAGUUCUUCUAUGAGGUACGCUUGAAUAUUUGCCCUUUCGUAAUGCCUUUUUCCUCUUACUUGUUACUUACAAAAACUAUGACCAAUGUCUAACCUUUUACUUGAGAAAAUUUUGAAAGAUACGAGGGAUUCUAUCUGCUUUUGAAGUCUCGUUAAGUUGUGUUCGUCGUACUCUAUUGCAGCCAUUGGUUGGUGGUAUGAAUUACAGAUUGAAUCAUGCUUUCGUUUGAAACAGAAAUGGACUCAUUUCGAUUUGGAGAAUGUUACUGUAGAGUUGCAGAGAGCAGCAGUUUAUAAAAAACCAGACAGGGAAGAGAAAACCUUUGUAGCAUUUGAUAUGGCUUCUUUUCCAGAGAAUCCCCCAUUCCUUUUGUCGAGGGACUUGGUCCAUGUACGACCAUCGGGGACAAAUGCCGAGCCAUUUCAGGUAAACUACGAGCAUCGAUCCAUAAACAUUCAUUGGAUUCUAAAUGUGUGUCUCAUUUCCUUUAAUUAUCCAUUGACAUGAUCUUACCUGUUAUACAGGGCUUUAUAUAUCGCGUCGUCAAGAGCAGUGUUGUUUUAGUAGAAUUUGAAGAUGACUUUUAUGUUCAUCAUUAUUCAACCCGAAAAUAUGACGUCAGCUUCUCAUUCAAUAGAGUCUGUUUGAAAAGAGCUCAUCAAGCUGUACAAAAUGCAUCUGAUGCUUUGUUUAGGAACUUCCUCUUUCCUGAGUCUGUUUUGCGUACGAACAUUCCCACUGCACCAGCGCUGCUGUGCACUGGUCAUAAACUUGAUCUCAAUCAAUUAUCUGCAGUCGUCAUAUUUUAAGCAUUCGUGGCUCACCACCUUACCUAUUGGCUGGCCAGCUCUGUGUUGAAAAGAGCAUCUGUGUUGAAAAGAGCAGUUUUAGGCUAACGAGAACUGGAGUGGUGAUUAGUGAAGCAGUGCACCAGUUAUGCCAAACUUCACACGGAAAUAGGAUCCUUAUAUGUGCUCCUAGUAACCGCUGUUGUGAUCAGCUUAUGAGAAGCUUGUUGAAAUGGAUUCCUGAGUCGGAUAUGUUUCGAGCAAAUGCUGCAUUCCGCGAGAAAGAGGAGGUACCUGAAGACAUCCUCCGGUCAUGCCUUUACAAAGAGACUUACUUCUCUUGUCCUCCGACGGAGGAACUUUGUAAAUUCAGAGUGAUCUCCUCCACUUUCAUGAGUAGCUUUCGGCUGCAUGAUAAAGGUCUAACUGCUGGACAUUUUAGUCAUAUUUUUCUGGUGGAUGCUUCAUCUGCUAUUGAGCCAGAAACAUUGGUGGCCUUGACUAGUUUCGGUGACAAAAAUACUACUGUUAUAGUUACCGGUGAAGCAGGAGACCGUUCACGUUGGGUUCGAGCUGACAUCGCUAGGAAAAAGGGACUGAAGAUUUCAUUCUUUGAAGACUUUCCAAGUUAGGGCGAUAAUGUGUUGAAGCCUCAGUUCAAUGCUCAUCACACAAUUGGAGCAUUUUCGAGAGUAAGACUCACUGAACACCUACAGGCUACUUUCUGAGUUUUUUCGUCCGUCGCCAUCGAAUAUGUACGCGUAUUUUAUAUUAUUCAAAUGUGUGUGUGUGUGUGUGUAUCAUCGUACUUACGCUCAUCUAGAUGUUCUGCGUAUGAUUUCUUGUGCAUUAAGCUUACAACAAUUUUCUUAGAUGUCUUUGGUUUCUGAAUGUAGUAUAGGUUUUUUGGGGGGGGGAUAAGAAAGUGCAGUAGUAGAAGCUUCAUCUUUCAGAAAAGAAAAGGUGCACUUUAAAAUUUAACGAGGAAAGAAAGGGCUUAUGGAACAAUAAUAAUCGUCAGCGCCCCCACAGAUCGGGCAUCCUCAUGCACAAACUUUGUACGGUUCCAACCGCAAGGAAAAUGUGGUGACUUUGUAGACCGACUUUUGGAAGAUUCUCGUUUCAACUAAAUACUUGUGCAGAUGGAAAUUUUAUCUGCACAAGUUCAGUUGGGGAAUUUAACAUCUGAACAAGAGUACUCGAUUGAGAACGAGCACUGGACUAAUUAGUGUAUUAACAUUCAGAAAGAUCAUUCCCAGCUUCAUCUGAUAUGCUUUUACAUUUCGUUUUCACGGCAACUUGCACGUCAAAUUCACAAAACUUAAUCCCAAAACUGAAUGAAUUAACAGUUUGCCGUGCACACACCAAGCAUAAGAACACUGAUUCAGUUCCGAGUUUAGUGUGCGAUUCCCCAGUUAAUGGUUGGAAUGUGCUUUCAAAUGCAGCAGAAAUGUAAGUCGCUGUGAAGGCAGACAAGUCUAAUGAGUAGCAAAGCAGUCGACGACAAUGUAGGAACACAUUUUUUUUUUUUUAAAUUAUUAGCUUUACUCUAUUACACGAGAAAUUUUUAGUUGUGACGGGUACAUAGGUGGUACACCACGUGUUUUUAUAUAAGUGGUGAGAAAUUUUAUUUUUUAAGUCAUUAACUUUUUAACACACUGUUGACCCUAAAAACUAUCAAGCCUACGUGGCGCUCAGGCCGAAUAAUUAGUAAGCUAACUACGUCCUUCAGUUGUAUGUGGGGCAUGCCAACUCGUCAGCCGAGCUCGGCCGAGGAGUAAAAUUUGUUGAUGUUGCGUUGGGUGCACAGCUGACUUCUCGAUCUUGCGACUGUGGCCGAGGAAGGAACACGCCUCGGCCUUCAGGUUCUAGAGCUUGAAGACAAAGCUACUAGUUCUGCGAAGUUCACAAAUCGUCGGUGCCGGAUUCGGUCACCGUGAUUAUAUUCGUAAGAGUAUAAGCACGUCUACACCAGAGUAUAGGGACACAAGUAUUCAAAAAAAAAUAUAUGUCUUGAUUGUGAAAGUGGUUAGGCCGUCAGAAUGCCGAACUCUAAAACCUACUUGCGAAUAACCAAUCAUAAACGACUUGGCGUUCAAUGUGCCGAGUAUAGUAACUUGUAACACCUCACUUCGCCAAGAAAGCUAACAAGAUGACCCCUGCCGAUAAGGAUUCAAAAAUCCUUCUCGACCGAGACUUGGAUAGAUAACCAGUCGGCCCUGUCGCAGUGCUGUUUAUCCAAACUGAAGAUGCUUCACAGUCGGCUGAAUCUACGACAACAGUGUUGUUUAUCCAAACUGAAGAUGUUCGACGGUUGCCUUCACAGUGCUGUUUAUCCAAACUGAAGGUGCGUUGGCGAAAAGAGGAAAACAAAAAUCUCAAGGUUGUUGAGAGGUUUCGGGUAGAGCUUGAGAAUGCGCAGGGCAAUUUGUGUGUUGAAUUGGAAGGGGUUGUUUCGAUGUCUUCUCUCCCUAUUUAUAGCAGCCAACCUGUAUUGAAUCCCAAUCACUCCCGGAUUAGAACUCAUUUCCCUAAUUUAACUUUACCUCGGCCAAUCCUACUCCUACUAGGACUUUGAACAUAACUUGUUAUCAGGCCAUAUUCAAUUCCAGCAUCCUGAUCCUAUCGAAACUCCUUCUGAUAAUAGGACUCAUCCAUAUCCCUAAUUCCCUGAUGGGAUUUGGCCAACUUCAACCAUGCGACCAGAAGCUAAAUAACCCCCAAUGGCACCUAUACACGACCUCUAAGCUGAUAAGAAUUCUAAACUCGACCCAACCAACACUGGGCCGAGAACCAUUCUAAACUCGGCCCAAAACAAUAUUUUUUGGCCCAAACACACACAUAUCCCACCAUUUAUAUAGUGACAUGUGGUGUACUAUCCUAUGUGACGGUUACACUGAAAAAUCUCUCCUAUUACACAACUAAUAAUAUAUUUGUUAUUAUUUUUUAAUUCAGGGGGGUCGAAGUUUCCUGAGAUUGACACGUUCAAAGAGGUGUACGUGCGGCCCGGGUAUGAGUUUAUGGAGGAGCCUAUGUAAAUUUUUAUAAUUCUCAAAUUUAUAAUUAUUAUUCAUUUUAAAUAAAUUUCAUAUAAAUAUUAAUUAACUUAUUUUUAUAAUUACAAGCUACUAUGGUGGAGAGGAGCCAAGCCGUCCUCGAGGAGGUGGCUUCCCAAUUUCCCCUAACACCCCGAUAAAGGAUCUAUCCCCCCCGGGAUGCGAGUCUUUUUAUCAUGAUGGACACCAUCGACUAGAGACUCAGUUCUAGGCCGGGAUGGUAUAUUGGGGCAUGGAAAAUGCCCACCAUUGUGAGACGAGUCUCCUCUUCCACCUUAACCUUAGGACAAGUCAUAUCGCUGAUGGAGCAAGUAGCAGAACUCUAGCAGCAGGUGGCAGCCCAAAUGAGCACAUUGCGACCCAAAUUGCCCACAUCGCCACCCAGAGUGCCCAUAUUGAUGCCCAAGAGUCUAGGAUAGCCCAGAUUCAGAUGUUUGGCUUCAACAUCCCUGCCGCUACACCUCCUCCUCAAACACCCUCGACCUCCCAGGCCCCUGCCCAAGCUCAGGUGACUGGCAGAGUUGACAGUGAUGAUUUCAUAUUGUAGUCUUUUUUUUUUAACAUUCCUACUUUUUUAAAAAUUUCCGGCUUGUACGUACAUUUUCAUAUUUAUUUUAAAUAAAUAUUUUUCCUUAUCAAUUAAUGUUCCUAAAUUCAUUACACAAACAAAAUUAUUUUGUUUAAAAAUUCAUUUUAUAAACAUUUAAAAGAAAAAAAAAUUAAAAAUGGUUUGCGCGACGAAAUAGGUCAUCGUCCCCAUUUAUACGCACAAGAACGGUGAUAAAUCUUGUGAGAAGAAAUUCUUCGUCCUGCUAAACUAUAUGCGACGAAGUGACUCUUUGUCACUCUGUUCUUGUGCCACGAAAACUUUCGUCCCUUUACAUUUCAUGUGACGAAUGUGCUUCGUCCCUUUUAACUUAGUGCGACGAAGCUUCAGUUCGUCGUGCAAACACUUUUGCGCAAGGAUUGUUCUUCUCUUUGUUGCACAAGACCUUUCUUUACGAGCCUUACGCAACAAAGAGGUGGCAACGAAGAUUUCGUCAUGUGUUAUUUUAAGCAACGAAAAUCUUCUUUGCGCGACGGUUAUUGUUUUGUCGCGAUAAUUGUUAACAGUAGUAGUGUUAUAUGAUACUAGUUUGACAUAUUGACUUUUAAAGCUUCGUGUUUUUUUAUUAUUCAUGCUUUAGUGUUCAAUAUUAUUGGUCAAAUAGUACAUGAAUUAUGGGGCAAGUAUGCUGGGAAGAGAAAUAGAGUUAGAACUUGGGACGCAAGAAUUGUGGAAAAGUGAAGCUACCACUGGUAAUUUUUUACGCCAAUAAGAGCAAAUGAGGAAGUUUUAAUCGUUAAGGGUAUAUUAAUACUUUCAUAUCAACUUUUUGUUAUAAUUCUUACUGAAAAUAUGAGUACACCCCUUGAAAUUCAAUUUUCUUUAAUUAAAACCCAUCAUGAUAAAUUUCUCUAACAAAAACUUAAUGACUGGACUCCAACUAAGCAAUAUCCAUAAUUAAGUUUGACAUUACAAAAUAUGUAUUUUUGGAUGUCUAAAUUACCCCUAAUAACACUUACUUUGGGUCUCUCACUUAUUAUCUACAUUUAUUUUACAUUAUUUCAUUCAAUUAAAUGUUCAAAUACCUUAUGGGAUUUGGAAAAAAAAAAUAAAUGUCAUGAUUCCUAUGCAUUUAAUAGCAAAACUUUACAUGAUACCAAUGUUCCUUAUAUGGUUGUUUUCACAUGAUGCUAACAGGUAAAUUAAUAUAUUCUACAAUAUAAAAAAGUUAUUUUAUUCAAAAUUAUCAAUAUUUUAAAUGUAACAUAGGUAAAUUAUUUUGCACAACAUAUAUAACAAUAUAAGUUCCUAGUAAAUUAUGUAAUGAUACAUGCAAAUUAAUUUACCUACAAAAUAAAUAAAUAUUUUUUAUUCAAAAUUACUUAAAUACCGAUAUUUUGCCAAAAAAAAUAUAAAAAAAUUUACCUACAUGCAAAAUAAUUUACCUUCAAAAUAAAAGAAUGUCGAUUGAUUGCACACUCUAUAUAAUAAUAACAAAAUGUCGCUAGUAUAUAUGUAGUAUCACAUGAAAAAUAAUUUACCUACAAAAUAAAUAAAUGUUUUUAGCCAAUUGAUUCAAAUUAAUUAAUUACAUAUUAUUUUACAUAAAAAUAUAGAUAAAUUAUUUGAAAGCAUAUAAAUAAUUUUAACAAAAUGUGUCUAAUACAUACUUGUAACAUUCCGGCCCGGGCCCCCACCACAUCCCGGGCUCGACUCUAUCGCAACACGAUAUUAUCCGCUUUGGGCACCGACCACGCCCUCACGGUUUUGUUUCUGGGAACUCACACGAGAACUUCCUAGUGGGUCACCCAUCCUAGGGUUGCUCUCACGCGAACUUGCUUAACUUCGGAGUUCCUACGGAACCCGAAGUCAGUGAGUUCCCAAAAGGCCUUGUGCUAGGUAGAGAUGAGAAUAUACAUAUAAGGCUUACAUGAUCCACUCCCUUAGGCGAUGUGGGAUGUUACAUACUUUCAAAAUAAUUUACCUACAAUGAUUGUCAAACAAAUAAAAGAAAUGAAACAUAUGAUGGUAAGAGAAGUAUAAAGUAGAUAAUUUUAUAAUAAUAAGGCACUUAUUUCUCACAAUUAUGGUGAAUAAUUAAAUUCAUUAACAUAAUUAGAGUGUUGUGGCAUAAUUGUAAAUGGUUUGAAAAUAAUAGGUAUUUAUUUGUUUACAUGGCAGUCUACUUUAAAUUUGGAUUUUAUUUGGAUGUUUAAAAUGAGAUGGGUUUUUUUCAAGAAAAUAAGUGUUGCAAGGGCUUAUAUCUGAAGAACCCUAAUUCUUAUAAACUUAAAAAGGUGACUAUAAUUCUAUAUAGGGUCCAAAUUUUAGUAUUUUUUUUUUUUCAAAUUUCCCAUUUGAAAACUCCUACAAAUUCCAUAUGGAAUUCAAGGAUUUCCGUGGACUUCAGUUUUUGACAUUGAUAGAUUUUUAUAGUGACAUUUCUUUAGUUACAAAAUUUAUAAACUAUUAUAGAAUUAAAAAUAAUAAAAAUGAUUUUUAUUACAAAUAGUCCCUGAGAAUGACUAACAUCAUUAAGAUAGUCUAUGAAAUUGAAAAUCGAUCAAUGUAGUUCUUGAAAAUAGGUGUCACAAAUCAGUGUGGUCCUUCAGUCAAAAUUGUGUCAAAAAUUCUAUUAUGCACUGAUGUAGCGCAUAAAUGAGUCCCAUAAGUCUUUUUUUUAAUAUAACAAAUGGACCAUAAAAUUGACCCACAAUAUCAAGAGAAUCCCUGAAAUUGAAAAUCGAUCAAUGUAGUCCUAAAAAUAAGUGUCUCAAAUCACUAUGGUCAUUCCCCACAAUUAUGUUAAAAAAUUUGUUAUGUGUUGAUGUAGCACAUAAAUGAGUCACACAAGUCUAAUCAAAUUAAAAAUAAAUUAUAAAUAGGUUUAAUAAUUUAAUAAUUAAUUUAAAAGUUUUCAACCUAGAAACCCGGUCCCGCAAUCACCUCUGAUCCCAACCCACACUCCUCUACCUCCAUCUACGGUAGUUUUCACCAUCUCUUAUCUAAAAACAAAUCAUCAAGAUACCCUUCACCAAAUUGGACUAGGAUCAAGACCACCUAUGCUGAUGGCUCGAAUUGUCGACAACUUUUGUGUCACCACUGUCAACAUUUAGGUGAUUGACACCCUCACAACCUUUAUCUUGGAGAGUUUGUUGGGCGCUCCCGCGGUGAUCCUGAUGACUCGGAGAACAUCGAACUCUGCCUUGAGAUAAUUUCACUGUGGAAAAAGUUAUUUUGACAACUUUUUUAAUUAAUUAUAAUACUACAUCAACACAUAACAGAAUUUUUGGACAGAAUUGUAAUGGAAUGAUCUUAUUGAUUUGGGACACCUAUUUUUAGGGACUACAUUUAUCAAUUUCGAUUUCAGUGACCAUCUUAAUGGUGUGAGUCAAUUUCAAGAAGCAUUUGUUAUAAAAACCCAAACAAAAAUGCUUUUGAAAAGAAAUUUGCCGAAGGUUUCUGUGGUAACCCCUAUCUCCUGCCUAACGUUAUCCCCCCUCCCCCAACAAAUCUUAAUGGUGUGGGUCAAUUCUUGAUGAAGGUUUCUGUGGUAACCCGUAUCUCCAGCCUAACGUUCUCCCCCCUCCCAAUCACCUCCCCCCCCCCAAAAAAAAAAACCAACCCCCCCCCCAAAAAAAAACCAAAGAAGAGAUUAACGUUUUCCCCCCUACCAAAAAAAACAAAAAAAAAAAAAAAAAAAAAAAAAAAAAAACCAGAAAGGAGCGAAUCUCUUCUUUGUGUCACAACUUUCAACAUUCUCCAGACCUCUUAUAUGUGUUAUUGGUCAUUGAUAAAUGAUUUGUAUUCUUUUUAAAUUUUAAUGAAAAGAAAGAGAAACCUAUGGGGACUCCCGAUGAUGAGACUCGCAGUCUUACACGAUGAUGGGUGGGGUCGAAGUGAAUCUAGAUUGGUGUUCGUUGGUUUGUCCGCGUCACUGCGUUUGUGGUGGAGUUGGUAAAGAUAGGUGAAAUUGAUCUAAAUUGGUCUCUAUUUUUUUUAUUGGUUGUGGUUAGCUUAGAGGGCUCCCUAGAUGGAAAUAUGGGUUACUUUCGAACUCAAGUAAGAUUUUGCAUUAGAAGAUCAACUUCUUUGGAUGACUUUUUUGGUGAUCAAAAAGCACAUUCAAGAGAGAAGAGCAGGAAGCUCAAAUACAGAAACGAGCAAAGCUUUCACAAGUGAAACAUGCAAAGCCAUAAAAAUAGAAAGCAAUCAAAGGAUUUGAAAUUCUAAGGGGUGAGGUGGGAUUCUUUUUUGUCUUGGUUAUAUAAAUUUCUUGCUCUCAAAUCCUACAAAAUCCAGACCUUAAUGAAAUCCUACAAAAUCUUUAAUUUUUUUUAAUACACCUCAAUUUGGAUGAACUUUAAAAAUAUCUAUUAAAAUCUCUCUUUUUUUUCUUUGAAAAGGGGACUAGUUGACUUCACCACGGCAAUCCACCCUUUCGGGGGACGGGCAGACUCACAAAGGCAUUUGAGCCUCCCAUGGCCACUAUUGUGCGAUUCACCAAUGUCAGAAAUUAAACUCAUAACGUGUCGUAUAGAAUACGGACUUGGAAUUUAUCCCAACCACUAGGCCACCCCGUGGUGGUUAUUAAAAUCUCAAUUGACUACACCUAGAUUUGCAUUGAUUCUAAAAAUGUCUAUUAUAAUCCUAGUUGACUAUACAAGGAUUUUAAUGUUGUAAAUAUGGUGGAUGUCCACAAUUGCCACUAAUCCACUAAGCUACAAGUGGGAAUAAUGUUGGCCAAAGCUUGCCUCAUACGAUUCUCAUUUUCUAUAAAUACAAUCCCACACAACAUCAAAAAAGGUGGUGAGGUUCACGGGUGAGAGAGGAAAGAAAAGAAAGAAAGAAAAGAGAGGAAGGAAGAGGAAGAGAGAAAAGAGAGGAAGAGGAGAGGAGAUAAUAGAGAUAGUUAUCUUUGUACUCUUAUUAUUUCAGAUUAUAAAUAAUGAAAGCACCACUGCUGCCCCGAUGACGUACUCCAGUCACACUGACUGUAGAGGAACCUCGUAAAUUUUAUGUUUUGUUUCAUUUAUUCCACUGCACCCACCGUCGAUUUUACAACACGUUAUCAGCACGAAAAGCUCUCACGUCAGUGGAAAGCACAACGCCACAAAUCAUGUUCACCUCCUUCAGCUAGAAUCUCACAGAUAAGAAAAAACUUUCAUUUCAUCUUCAAAUCUCAGUACAAUUGGUCUUCUUGAAGCAACUAUAUAUAUUGUUGUAUGACUGUAUAUCAUCCUUUGCAGAAGCAAAAGAGUACAGACUCAAAAUUCGUAGAGAAUUUGACACCCAUGUAAACAGCCUCGGAACUCUAACUUGCGGACCUCGGAUUGAAAUACUUUCUUCUUAAAAGUUGUUCCUCCGCUCAAUAUCUACAACACAUCAAAAUUUCAGAAACCUUUAACGGUGCGAUCAUCGCAGAUAUCUGAAAUACCAAACCAGUUUCCAAUUUCCGCAGAAAACUGGACAGCCACCUUAUGAGUACCAAAACUCCAUUUCGGUAGCUCAGAUCGAAAUUGUUUCUUCACGAAAGUUGUUCGGUAUCCUCUUAUCCAUAUCAUAUUAAAAUUUGAACUAAAUCUAACGGUUGGAAUUUCUCAUAAGUUGCAGACACUCUUGACUCCAAAACUUAUGGGAACCGUUUCGACUUUUUCGAAACUCACCGGAGGAGGAACACCAAUUGGAACUUAGUGUUACUAUUAUUUCCUGGAUAACUAAAAUGACUUCGAACUGUGAAAUAAAAAUAAAAAUAAAAGGAAUCAAACAAAAGAAGUGGCAGACCAAGAAAAAGAAAGAGCAAAAGAUGAGGACUUAAUCAUUGCAUUUUCUGUUUUGGCAUAUUUAUGUGCAUGGUGUUGGUUUAAAGCCUCUGUCACAAGUUCUAUUUAUUUAAAGCAAUUUAUUUACAGUGGGUAGAAUUAUUAUCCUUUGCUUUAAAGCUUUGAUAUUUAUGUGAAUGGUGCUGAAUCAAAGCCCUUGUCACAAACUUUAUUUACUUUAAAACAAUUUAUUUACCAUGGACAGUUUUACCGCUUAUUGCUUUAAGUUUUGAUGGUGCUGAAUUAAAGCCCUUGUCACAAGCUUUAUUUACUUAAAUGCAAUUUAUUUAUUAUGGCUGGAAUUAUCGCCUAUUGCUUUAAUUUAUUUAUUGUACUUAUCUUUUGUUACAAUGAGUAUAUAUAGGACCUAAAGUUCAUUGAUCAGAUCAGAACAUGCAGUUUCUUGAUCCUCAUCAUAUAAAAUGAUUGGACCUGAAGUUCCAUCAUGCAAAAGGACCAGGUAUGAAGUCCCUUGAUCCUGAAGAUCAGGACAUGAAGUUCCUAGAUGAGUACCGUAAGUUUGAAGUGCCGCAGUGCCUCAACUUAAUUGUAAUAAAGGACAUAAGAGUCUCAGUUCACAGACUAUUAAAUAAGGACCAGAAGUUCCUCAUGUCCAUACUCAAAAUGGUUUAGCAGAAGCAUUCAUUAAGUGGGUGAAAUUGAUUACCAACGCUCUGCUCAUGAAAACAAAAGUGCCAGUUUUCUACAUGGGGACAUGUAAACUUUACAUGAUGCAUUAUUAAUUCGGUUGAGAUAUAUUACCAACCAUCAAUACUUCUCAAUACAACUCGUGUUUGGGAACAAGCCAAGCAUUAUACUUUUACGAGUUUUUGGUUGUAUUGUCUAUGUGCCUGUAAGACUGCCACAACGUACUGAAAUGAGGCAUCAUAGCAGAUUAGGCAUUGAUGUUGAACACCAUCUAUAAUUCAAUAUUUGGAAUCCUUGACUGGGGAUAUGUUUACCGCGUGGUUUGCGAACUAUCAUUUUGAUAAGACAAUUUUUCCGCCAUUAGAGGGAGAAAAUAACAUCAUUCCAGAAGAACGAUGAGAAUAUAUCAUUCCAGAAGAAUGAUAAGAAAAUACUGUUCCAGAAGAACGAAAAGAAUUUGUCUUAUUUUGAUUCACGAAGCAAACAAUGAGAAAAUGAAAUAGGAAUAAUUGAAUGAUGCAACAAAAGUGAUGAAAUCAUAUAUACUUGCUGCAAAUGUGCCUACAAGAAUUAAUGUCCCUGUUGGACAAAAUAAUGGGACAGUAAAUGAUUUAUCUGUUGCACGCCUGAAGCGUGGCAGACUUUUAGACUCAAAAGGUUUAGUUAUUUGAAAGAAGAAGAAUAUGGCACUACUGAACUAUUGCAUUCCCGAAGCAUAACUAUUGCAUGACAGUCGCCGCAUGGAUACACGUCCCAGAAAGGACAAUCCGCGAACAUGGGAAUAUUGAUGUCUCAUGCAUGAAGCAUGAUUGACAUAUAGGUUCUAAAUGACUCAACUCCUGGAAGUGAAGAUUAAAAUCCAAGCUCUAUAACGCUCAAGAAGAGGUUAUGAUCCGCAUUCUUUAAAUUAUGACUAUCCUGGAAGAGAUAGUGUAAUGCCCUUGAACAGGCAACGGAUAUCCAAAAGAAAUGAAAAGUUUUUAUGCAUGUGCAUGCACAUGAGAAUAUGGGAUCAUGGAUUGAUGAUAACCAAUGGUAAUUUUGGUUUUUAUAAGUAGCUACUAAAUUCAUCAAUGAGCUGUGUUGAUAUUGAGUCUCGUUCUUUUUCGUCAAAAAAAUUAUUGGCCAAAAAUGGAGAAAGGCAAUUCCAUUACAAUUUUGUAAGAACGUGGAAAAAUGGACCUAUAUAUUUGAAUACAAUACAAAUAGCCAAAAGAUGUUGAACCAAGGAGGUUACAUAUGGGCACUUGUAAUACAGUGUAAUACACUCACAUAAUAUGACAAAAGGUUACUAAUUGAAACCUAAAAUUAUACUCUUGUAAACAAGUUCAUAUAAAUGGAGAAUUAUAUACGAAGGGUUGUGAGUCGCCUACAUCAUAUCUCCAUAAGUAAAUCCCUCACGUAUACAUGGGAGCAAAUUGCUCUGUAUAAAUUCCAAAGGAAAAUGUGUCAUGAAGUGUAGAAAAUCCCUAAAGGAUUUAAAUUGCUUGAAGUAAGCCCCCGAAGGGUAAAGCAUAAAAUAUGUACUCAAUACCAAUGGAUGGUAUAAAUUGCCUUAGUGAGUAAUAUCAUUAUGAUAUUGUUGCAACAUACUAAAAUCUCUUGCAAGAGUUAAUGACAUUAAAUUAGAACUCCUGAAGAGUUGAUGAUAUUAAAUUGAGACUCCUGAAGAGUCAAGAAAAUUAUAAAGUGUUGAGAGAUAUAUUGUCUCGAGCUGCAGAUCGAACAAUCUACCAACACGAAUCUUAUCCAUGAUGUUUAUGAUAUUUAAAGAACCAUAUGGAUUGAAGAUUAUGAGUUGAAUACUCAAAUGAUGUAGACACUAAGAAUAAUCAUUUAUCUUCGUGAGGGUAAAGAUAAAUUAAUAUUUAGUCCAGAAGUACCACUUCUUAGUGAAGUAUAUGCUUUAUUGUAUUUGGCACAAUACAUUGAAUGAAAUAAAGCUUAUCUAUUAAUAUCUCCAAGAAAUUACAGAUAUGUACAUACACAUGAGUUAAAACAAACAAACAGGAUGGAGCCUUCACAAAGGUUUCUCAUGUGAAGCCUCAAUACUCGGAAGUACCCCAGAAAGGGGAGGCACUAGAGAUUGAUCAUGUGGCACCCCAGUACUUGGCAAAACAUCAGAAGGGGAAGGCAUCAGUUGCUUUCGGAAUCUAGCAACGAACCUCUGGUGAUCACUUUGCAUUCGACUUUCAGAUUCCUGCAUUGGUCGAGCUUUCUUUUCAUGCUCGUCGAGUAAUUAUUUGCAAGCACGUGUAACACUCUAUUCUCGUGCUUGAGCCCUAUGAUAUCUUGUUUAAGACUUGCUACCUCAGCCAUCAAUCAUUCAACUUGGCGAGUUUGAGCAAGUAGGCGUUGGUCCAUAUUGGAAACAGAGCCAGCACACUGAACACUGAGAGCCAAUGAGUCUUGAACGGUCGACUCAUCAGACGUUUUGAAAAGAUCAUGUUAUCCUUUGGAGUGAGAAGAUUCAUAGCUACCACAGUAACGGUUAUGUUAUUCUUCAUCACAGAGUCCCUAACCGUAAAAUGACCAUUAGAAGAUAAGAAGGACAAGCGUCAUAUGUUAUCCUGACGAUGCUCGUCUGUAUCACUCCUAAGACUCAAAUCUAAGCAAAUGUUAGAUGGGCAAGUCAUUUUCAGAAAUGAUGAAUGGAAAAUGAGGUCAAGUAAAAUUUCAGAAGUACAAGAAGGGGGAAAUUUCUACAAGCGGCAACUUUCUGAGCAUACUCUUGAACACAAUAGAUGUCUCUAUAAAAGAAGGCAACAUAGCCACUCAUUCAGAGAUCGAAGAGGCAUGGCUCUCCGAAUUUCAAAAGCCAGAUUUUCCUGAAUAAAGUUCAUUGGUAUUUUUCAGACGCAAUCUCAGCUUUUUUGGAUAUCACGUGCAACUUUGUCAAAGAUCUCUGACAAAGUUGAAAACACGUAAAUCUUACUGUUCUAAUUACACCACAGUUGCUGACAAGAGUAAAGGUACAGCACCACCACUUGCUAUUGGGAAAUCUCUAUAUAUGUCGACCUCCGCUCUCCAUAACAAGGCAGACCUGCAAGAAUGUCCAACUCUUCCUCAUCUCCGAGAAUACCUCUUCAAACAAGUCACAAUAGAGCAAGAUUAUCUCAUAUCUUCAGGGACGAAAGCAAGACUAUCUUAUAUCAUGCAAUUUCCCUGCCAUUUCCUUUGUCUCUAUUCUUACCUGCAAAAACAAGGAUAAAAAAAGCAAUAUGUCAGAACCUCCACUCAAACUUCCAGUCAAGAACCGACUGCCUGGAACAUUUGCCUGGUUACUUACCUUGCAUUGCCCUCGAGUACUCAUCUUCAGGCAAGGGUUGCAUUUCACUCCUGCAUCAGUGGACAAAUACUACAAGAAAAGAUGCCACACAAGCAUGGGGAAAACCAGGAAAAAUACCACUUAUGCAAGGGAAGCAAGUAAGGCAAGUGAAAAUAAUAAAUUGAAGCAUGUGGAGACAAGCACAACAAAACACGUGCCGAUUCAUCCUAACAGAGCCGAAGAUCACUUGUUACAUGGGGCUACUCAUAGUUCCAUUUCAUUCAAGAACAAGUCCCAAAGCCCUUGAAGGAAUCUCAUGUCCGAUUCAAGAUCAAGUGUCCACCACCCUUGAAUCAAAUUCAAGCUCCAGAUAAAAUGAGCAAAUUCAGACCUUUGGAUCACGUCUAACAGAAGGUCCUCCAGCCCAGUUCAAGAAUAAGUCUGUGGAAAGUUAACAACAAGUAAAGCACCUCUUUCAGCAACUCUUCUCACUAAGAGAUUGAAGCAGAAUGAUCAACGAUCAGCCUAAAUGAUUUGAAAUCAGAGGGAGAUACUCAUCAGGGGGAGCAUCCAAGACAGAUCAAGAUUUUAACAAGACAAUCAAAGACUUGUGGCCAUCCAAUGGGGAGUGUUGUAAAUAUGGUGGAUGUCCACACAUGCCACUAAUCCACUAAGCUACAAGUGGGAAUAAUGUUUGCCAAAGCUUGCCCCAUACGAUUCUCAUUUUCUAUAAAUACAAUCCCACACAACAUCAAAAAAGGUGGUGAGGUUCACGGGUGAGAGAGGAAGGAAAAGAAAGAAAGAAAAGAGAGGAAGGAAGAGGAAGAGGGAAGAGAGAAAAGAGAGGAAGAGGAGAGAAGAUAACAGAGAGAGUUAUCUUUGUACUCUUAUUAUUUCAAAUUAUAAAUAAUGAAAGCACCACUACUGUCCCAAGGACGUACUCCAGUCACACUGACUGUAGAGGAAUCUCGUAAAUUUUGUGUUUUGUUUCAUUUAUUCCACUGCACCCACCAUUAAUUUUACAACAUUUAAAGUCUUUUAAAUUUUCUCAAAUUAUAGUUUGACUACAUUCCCUAAAUAGUCCAGUAGCAUUUUUUGUUAAACACUAAAAAAAAAUUCAAAAAAUGCUAUUAAAACUACUUCUUUUUUUUUUAGGAAAAUUUACACAUAGAGUACACUUCUAAUACUUAAUUUUAUAUUGAGACAACACUCACUACAAGAAAACAUGGCUUAGGUGGCUACAGACAUUGGUCCCAUAAACAAGAAAAUUCGUCACAUUUGACUCUAUGUGACGAAAUUCUAGCGUCACAAUUUUCGUCACAUAUACACAGUCACCUAUAUUCCGUGUGACGAAUUUUAAAUUUGUCACAUAUUUAUAGUAUGUGUGACGCUACUUGCGUCACUUAGUACCAAUAUGUGUGACAAAGUAUGCGUCACAACAUACAACAUUAUGUGACCUAUUUUUGCGUCUCGUAUCAAAUUUAUAUGUGAUGCUUUUAUCGUCACCCAAUAUGAUGCCAUGAUGAUAUAGUUGCACUUAGCUACGCUGAAUUCGUCACAUAUUCCUUUGAUAUGUGGCACAACUUAAGUCACAUAUGUUUAAAUCAAAUACCUAUUUAGGAAUAAUAUUGACAAAUUAAUUGUUUUUUCCUGCUUCGUAAUCUAGAAUUGCAGUUCAUAACAAUUAUAGGUAAUACUUCAUAUUUUCAUUAAUUAACAAUUUAAACACAUAAGUCGAAUACAUUCACCAAGUGUACGUCCCAAAAAUUAAAGUCAUGGUAACCUAUCUCAAAAGUGAAGUCUAAAACAGCUUAGUGCUAACAAAAGAUAGCUUCAAGUACUAACUGAAUAGAAGCCUGCUACGCUAGAAUAAUGAAGGGCAUUAACACUUAUAGACAGCUUUGGUGCUAUUAUAGGCAACUUUGGUACUAACAAAAGAUAAGUCUGAGACACAUUUAGGUGCUAACAAAAGAGGUAUACCAUGUGGAAACUUGAAACUAACAGCAAAAGACAUAAUAUUGAAACCAAUCCUCUUCCAAAUCAUGUUCUUCCAGCUCAGGAUAAGUAUUUUCACCUUCUGAAAUAUCACCAUUUGAUUCCGUAAAGUUGUUGUUGGUCUUCCCCUGACUUGCAGCCAAAAAAGCCUUGAUUUUUAUGAACAUAUUUUCAUCAACAUUCUGUAAAUCCAAUCGAGCUUUUAAUUGUUCUUUCUCCUGUUGCAAUAUGAGGAAACCAUCUGAUAGAAGCUUGAUCUGAGAUCUCAUAUCAGUUAACUCAGAACUUGAAGUCAUAGAAGAACAGCAACCAUAGGUAUCUGUUUGAGGAAAAACACAUACACCAUUAAUAGAUUUUCCCUUCCUCCCAAAGUUUUCAACCAUGAUUCCAAACUCAUCAUCCAAUGACACAUGUACGGAAUCUAAUGGAGUACCCUCAUGUGCUUCUUCAGUCAGCUUCUCCCUUAGUUCAUCCUUCUUUUUCUUUAUGUUAUCCUUUCAUAAUAAAAUAGAAAUAAUUCAUUUUUUUUUUCAUUUCAAACAUAUCCAGCUAUAAUAAGCUUAAGAAAACACAACUUGAGUCCUUGUAUGUGAUCAUUAACUUAUUUAGAAGGAAACAAAGUAUAAUCAGUCUGUAAAUAUAAUUUGUAACUUUUGUUUUAAUAUUCAACUCAUUUGAAAUGACAAAACUGAGUGGCUCAUGAAUAACUUACAUAUUUGUCUUGAGCAACAUCAUUGAUCCACUUGCCAUUCUUGUCUUUGUGGAGAGCUCCCCAACUGUCAAUCACAGAUAAUGGAUCUCCUUUCUGCUCAAUAAUGAAGAAACAUGCAUAAGAUUGCAUAAUGAAUUAUUAUAAGUACUUUAAUUUCAUUACCAUGUGAGCCUUCCUAGCAUGUUGGAUGAAUGACCUUGCUCCUCCCUUGUGAUGAUACUUUUGUUUCUUCCUAUUAUCAGAAUUUUUCUUUGAAAGCUCCUACAUUAAUUACACAUGUGAUAGAUGACAAUCAAAAGAAGAGUUAGUAUUGUAGACAUGUACAAUUUGGAAAGCUCCUACCUCCCAGACUUGUAAUAUAUAUGCAUGUGUUUGAGUUGUACAUGCAUAUUCAUUCAAAUUUAAUAGAAUACUAUUGUCUAACAUCUUUUCCGAUCAGUUAGAUUCUAAUUUCCAUAAACACUAUAUAAUACAUGUAAAAGCACCUAUAUAUUAAAUAAGUUGGUAACAUUUAAUAGGAUAUCUAUUAGACGAUAUGGGGUGACUGAUGUUGUAUCAGUCAUAUGCAACAUAAGUCACCCCAUAUCGUCUAAUCAUUAUAUUAGACGAUAUGGGGUGACUGAUGCUGCAUAUAACUGAUGUUAUAGGGUGACUGAUGUUGUAUAUAACUAAUGCUACAUAUGACUAAUGCAGCAUCAAUCACCCCAUAUCGUCUAAUAUCCAUAUGCAAUAUUAGUCACCCCAUAGCAUCAGUUAUAUGCAGCAUCAGUCAUAUGCAACAUCAGUCACCCCAUAUUGUCUAAUAUUAUCACAGCUUUAUAUUAAAAAAGAUUGGAUAAGAUACAUACCAAAAAGUGGGUAGUAGCGUAAACAUUAUCGCAUAACCAGUCCCAAUGACUCUUUGGUCGCUCAUUCCAUAUAUGAUCGUUGGGCAACUUUACUCGUCCUCUUGCAGGUGUUCCACAUGACAAGUAAUACUUAUACAACCAAUGCCUAAACACAAAGUACAACUUCGCCAUCUUCUUAUCAACAUAUUCAAUAAUCUUCAGAUGGGAUAGGUCCACCACAAAUAAUACCUAUUGUUAAACAUAAAAUAUACGAGUGAGUGCUUGAAAUUAUUAUGAAUAAACUGAAUUAAAAUCAAACUCACAAGCAACUUAUCCCGCAGUGUCCUCUUUUCUUGAGGUGAGACCUUCAUCCAUUUCUCCUAGCAAACUGGUGAAUGAGUCUGAAUAAUAUUCCCUAUCUCGGUAGUGAAAAAGCUUGAUACAACCAGAUCAUUUGGAACUUGAAGUUUGAAAUCAAAGAUGACCGGCAUCUUCUUCCCACCAUUGGCCUCCAAAGUAUUGGGGAGGCCUUUCCCACAUGACUUUCCACAUGUCAUCUUUUUUGCAGUGAAGUCAAAAUUUGGCCUUUCCCACAUGACUUUCCACAUGUCAUCUUUUUUGCAGUGAAGUCAAAAUUUGUCUCUAUAAAUCUUUAAAAUAUAUAUAUCUUAUCAAUGUUAUAACUUGUUUACAACAACAUUACUAAGAAGAAUUAAAUUAACUGUAAUUAGCCUUUCUCAAAUACCUAAGUUUAUGUCUGUUGGCUCUUUAGGUGAAGGAGCAUGUGGUGGAAGAGAUGGUGGUGGUGGUGGAAGAGAUGGUGGUGGUGGUGGAGGAGGUGGUGAUGGUGGAUGCGGAGGUAGGACAACCCUGACUCGUUUCACCCUCUUUCCUCGUUGCAUAGAAGUCAUCUAGUAAAUUGGAAAAGGAAAAAUAAUAGCAGACUAGCAUCAUAAAUAAUUAUUAUUAUAAGCAUAUCGAAGACUCUCCUUACACAAUCUCAAGUUGAGACUUUCUUAUUUAGAAGUGCUUUCCCUUUAUAACUAGUUAAUGUUUGUAUAUUGGUUGUUAUUAUAUUUUCUCCAACUAUGUGUAGUGGAGUGUUUCUUUUCAUUAUUGUAUCUAGGGUGGCACAGCUCCUCAUGGACCUCACUCUGUUUGAGCUCUCUUUCCCUCUUUCCUAUUAAUAGGUGUGUAAUCUUGUAAUGAUCAUCAAGCAUGAAUAUACAAAGUAUUCAGACACAAAAUUACUGAAGUAUUCAAAUACUCUAGUAGCAAAUUCAACAAUUUAUCCAUCUAUCAUAAUUCAUAUCCAUACUGAAAUUCAACGAAUGUAGAUGAACAUCUUCAAUUAAGUGAAAAAAAAAUGUUAUGACAAACUCUACAAGGACAGAGCACUUGAUUGUUCUGGUCCACAUGGCGACAAGCAGUGUGAAUGAAUGACUGGACCCCUUCUCUAAUAAUCGAAACUACAGUGAUUCCGACAACAAAUCCAUUGUCUAUCUUCAGUACUAGUAUUGGGCCUCAGAUUUUGACAUAGUUCAAUAGGUUGCCAUAACAAUUUUUCAAAAGUUUGUUAAGAUAGACAUAUAACAUAACAAAUAUGAAUGUCAAUAAACUGAAUUCCAUAAAUUCAAAUAACAUGAAAUUCAAUAGCAGCUAGAUUCUAAACAAACAAGCAGGGCAUUAAGUAUUCACACCCAUCUAGGUACAAUUUUUAAAAUAAAAAAAAAAGCUAGCAUGCCAUUAAGUAUUCACACCGAUAUUGAAAACCCUAGUUUAAAAAUAUACAUCAACAUCAUCCUAAAAUUUAAUUAAAAACUAAAAAUGGAGAAAAUCUUCCACCCCAAUAACACGAGCGGGAUUUCCAUAGUUGGGGUUUCUCCAAUAUCUCGAAAACCCAAUACAUAAAAUAAAUAAAAAAUUCAAAAUUUUCACGAUUAAGACAAAAUUCUAAGAGAGAAAUAAAAAAAUGCAGUAAUUUCAAGAGAGAGAGAGAGAGAUUUGAGUACCUUUGGAUAAGAAAUUGGGAGAAAGGGUAGCUGAUAUACUAAGUCGCCUUAGGUCAAAAGAGAGUAGAGUGUGAUAGCAAGCAAAAGAGGUAUGGGGAAGACGAAAGAGCGAUGGUACUCGCCGCCACCAGCAAUCAGUUGGCAAAUUUGGGAAAGGUGAACGUGAGCUAGGAGAGGAAGUGGAGCGAGAGUAGAACAUAUGAAUUCUAAAGAGUUUGGGCUUUUGGAUUCUAUUUACUUUUAUGUUUUUUUUCUUUUUUUCUCUGUCUUCAGUAAAGGAAAUGUGAUGAUUUGUCUUUCCUCACACUAACCCAGGUGGCCUUAUCUUAUGUUUUGUGAAGAAGGCAAAAUUUUUGUCACCCAAUAUAAUUCAUUGGGCGGUAAAAUUUGCUACCUAAAAAUUUGUGAGGACUUUAAGACUUUUAUGUGACAAACAACAUUUCAAAAAAAUUAUGUAUCCCGCACAAGUAUGUAUGUGAUGCUUUCUUAAAAUUCCUCACUUAUUACACCAAAUUGUGAUGAAUUUUUGGGCUUCACAAAAAAUGUCGUUACCUAUUCCAUGUUUUCUUGUAGUGACUUUUUUAAACAUUUCAAGAAGAGACAAAAGUUAAUACAUGUGGAAGAUGAUAUCAUUCCUUUUUUUUUCUUUAGAUUUUAAGUUACGAAAAUACCCUUUAUAGUGGUAAAGUCCUUUCACACUUCUAUCUCAUUCAUCUUUUAUUCCCCUUCUCUUCCAUAAAUAUUGGUCGGAUUUUGCCUUCUCUCCUUCUUUCUCUACUCAUUUGAUAGCCUAUACCUACAUUUUAGCACCAGAAAAUAUUUUCAACAAAUUUUUUUUAGAAUACCAAGAAAAAAAAUAGCUCCAUUAGCAUUAAGAAGAAGAACGCACAAAAAGAGUUAUUGAGGCAAGUUGAUAACUGGGUUAUUAAUGUUGAGAAACUGCAAGGAAGGAAGGAACUUCCCUUCCCUUCCCUUACUGUUGUUGCUGUUGAACAAUUUUAUUAAGUGGAUAAAAUUGUUUCAUGUUUUUGGGUUGGGUAUUAGUUGUUUUUAUAUUUUUGUCUCUCCUCGAUAUAUUUAAAAACUAGUUGAAUUCCUUGAAAUAUAGUAAAAAAAUUUGUUUCUAUAUAUAAAGCUCAUUUUUUAUAAAAGUUUUAAUAGCAUUUAACAAAAAUUGCUAUCAAUUGAUGCUAUAGAAACCACUUUUUUUUAGUAGUGUGACUGCUCAUGAAUUGCUUCGGCUACAUGAUAAAGGCGUGAACUUCAGUCAUACUUUUCUGGUGAAUGUUUUAGCUGCUGUUGAGCCGGAAACCGUUCACGUUGAGUUCGAGCUGACAUUGCUAGGAAAACGGAUUGACAAUCUCAGACUUUGAAUGACUUUUGAAGUCAGUGCUAUAUUGUAUUUGUAUAGAAGCCUCAGUCCAAUGUCCAUCACGCGAUUGGAGCAUUAACAAGAGUAAGAGACUCGUUGAACACCUAUGGGUUUUAACCAAAACUUUCUAAGUUUGUUUGCCAAUUGCCGUCGAAUGUGUGUAUAUCACCGUACUUGCGUGCGUCUUGAUGUUUUGCAGAUGAUAUCUCAUGCAUUAAGCUAGAAACCCUUUGUCUUAGAUGUCAACCGUGCCAUUGUUUUUAAAUGUAGUUUAUGAAUUUGGUCUAGUGCCGCUCGAUCUCCACUUUAUUGAAGUUCAAAUAUCAUAGACAGGCUUCAGAUGAAAGAAACCUGCUCUCUACAAAAUUCAGCAUGUACCUAAUGCUGAUAGGAGGUUUGGAGAAAUGUUUAGUAAAACAAAAAGAAAUCCCACAAAUUGAGCAGUUGACAUUCCCAUAGCAAGGAAGAUGUGGCGUAUUAUUCUCUCUAAUCCUCUGCUUAAAUUUCCAGUUUCUCAAUAAUCUGUGUACUUUGAAGCCAUAAGCUAAUACUUUUGGUAGAUCGAGUUUUAGUCUUUUUGUUCUUAGCCAUAAGUGGUCUUGAUCUUAUAAUUUUGAUGAAUUUCUAUGUUUUGAUCGCAUUAGGACGGAUCGCACGUCGAUUUUUUGUGAUCUGUUACGAUGUCUUCUUUGCUGUGAAGAUGAGCAUGAUAAUGUUGUAAGUUGUGAGUGUCAAAGAACAUGUGCUCAUUGUUUCUUGACAUACAGUAAUUUGGAAUAUCCCUUUAAUCAGUUAAUAGGCCAGAUUAAAGGGAUGAGCGUCUAUAUAUUAAGAGGUCCCUGCACUCACAGCAUCAUCCUAUUCUAGUGCAAAACCCUAUUUUUGUGCACAAGGACUCUCAGCUGCUAGAGUGUAGAAGUUCCUCCUUGAAACCCUAGCAGUCAUGGCUUCUUCUUCUUCCUCCACUUCGGAAGAUAAGUUUAUUUCCCUUUUAAUUGUUUGAUUGGUUUAUUGUAAUUAUUUUGGUUUUAUCUGUGAUCCUAGUAACUUGUUGAUUUUCAGAUUACAUCUUACAUGUGGUAUCAGAGCCUCUCAACUCGUCUAGGAUUCAAAAUUUCGAUCAUGGUUGGUUUUGAAUAUAUUGGUAACGUUUCAAUAUCAUGCCAUUACUUUUAUCCUUACAAUAUGUAAAGCUUCAUCGAAUAACAUGAUUCAUUGAUUUAUAUUGCUGAUAAUUCAAUAUGUGGAUUGAUUAUCGUGUUGGCCUUGCAAAUAAUUUUUUAGUUAUUAUUAUUAUCUGACCCAUCUGCAGAAAUUACUUCUGCGUGUAGUUGUAUUAUCCUUGUCUGCAGAUACAAAUCAGCUAGGGAAUUUGCAAAGUUUUGGGGUUCGGAUUAUUGGUAAUCUGUUUGAACAAAUUCUUAACAAAUUAAAGGCAUAAUUAUUUGUUGUUUUGGUUAAAUGUCUUUUACUUGUGGAUCCGGAGGCUUCCGCUUAAUCUUAGAAUAUUUUUGUAAUUGCUUUUCUAACUACAGUUUUGCAGCAUGAAUCACAAACAUUCAUGGCAAAAUUUAUAUUGUGAAUGACUGUUGACCAACAUGUUCAACUAACUUUAUGAUUUAGAUGUCAAAUUACAUCAUACGACAUAUAUACAUAAGAUGUAUGGUCGGUAAAAUAUACAUUAUUCCAAGGAUUUUGUAGUAUUUAGUAUUCCUUUUCGAUAUCUCCGAUGGAGUAAAUUUGUUUGGUCGAAGGAUCAGAGAGCUCCAGUAUGCUGAAGAUUUCUCCGUCAUGAUUGAACCAGCCAUGGUUCAUUACCCAUGCACUAGGGUUUAUGCAUAGAGCUUGAACCCCAUUAUGAAUAGCUUGCUGCCAAGUCUUGCAUAAUGAAUUAUUUGCCAUGCUUUAUUAUGGGUUGAGCUUUACGAGAUUUUCAUAUCUUGCUUUAUAAUUUGAUUGGUAGUGUUAGUGCUGGGUUUCCUAGGACUCGCCCAAAACCCUAGUGAGCAUUAUCCUUCAAGGGUGAGAAUAAAUUUUGACCCAACGGAAGUAAAAUUAGUAAGUUUGCUCAUAUUUUUCUUGUUGUCUAAAGCAACCUUUUGAAAUUAUUUUGAGUUGAUGGAUUGAAUUAAACUUAUGGAUACUGACUUCGUGGGUGAGCCAUUGUAUAGGAUUUUCAUGAUUUAAAAUUCUGAAUUUGGAUACCAUGACACUAACAUGUUUUAUGCAGGCACACAUGUUCAUUCAUAGCUUAGAUGAAUGUGUGAACUGAUUCUGCAGGAAUUAGAAAGGUUUGAGAUCCCCUAUCUUGCGAUCGUAAGGAGCUUGAUCUAUAUACACAUAUUAACGUCGUGGCCAUUUUGGUAUCACUUUUAAAUUGUUUUCUUAUCUUAAAAGGAGAUUUUGAUAUAUCACAAUGGACAUGCUAAAUGUUGUUUUAAAAGAAAAAUGAGAUUUUAGUAAAGUUAUGAAAACAAGACUAGCUAUGUUCAUGCAGUUUAGAGUACCUUGCAAUUUGUCCUAUUUUAGUCUCUGAUUUUGAUAGAUUUUUCAUAACUCCAAAAUUUUAUGAAAUUUGGUCAUGUCAUAAUAUCAAAUGGAUUGUAGAUGCUGGUAGUUUUUCAUGUUUCUAGACAAGAAAUGGAUUUAUUUUUUCAUGUUUCUAGACAAGAAAUGGAUUUAUGUUAAAUAUUUAAGUGUGAUACCAUGUUGCUAGAAUAGUCUGUUUGUGAUAUUAUUUUGAUAUAUCUAUGUAACUCCUAAAUUCAUGAAAUUUUAGUAUGAUAUAAAUUGAGAUGUUUAUUUCAAAUCUGGAAAUUUUCACGAGCAUUGGUUUGCAAAUGAAUUAUUGGUGUUUUUUUUUUAUCAGGACUGUACCGCAGAAUUUACGCAACUUCUGCAUCACAUUCCAUUUCGAUUUUAUUUUUAGCCCACUUUUAAGAUUGAAAAAAAAUUAUGAAACUUUGGCUGACAGUGAAUUUAUAUAUCUACUUAAUUUCUGGAAGUUUUCAUACACAUUGGAAAAAAAAAUUGAUUUUUUGGUGAAUUAUUUAGUCUCCGGUAUGUACUGCAGAAGUUUUUGCCAUUUCUGCAGGACAUCCCAUUUUGUAUUUUCUUUUAGUAGACUUGUAAAUUCUCAAAAAUUAUGAAAUUUUGGGAAUUAACAGAUUUGUAUGUUUACUUAUUGCCUGAAAAUUUUCAUGCAUAUCGGAUGAACAAUGAAUAUUUGGUGAAUUUGUAAUCUCAAUUCUGUACUGAACAUUUUCUGCAGUUUCUGCAACACCUCUCUUUUCGAAUUCAUUUUUUGGCUCUCUUAUAAAAAUAAAAAUAAAUCAUGAAAUUUUGCGAAACAGUAGUCAUAUAUGUCUAGUUCAUACCUAAAAAUUUUCAUGACAAUCUAAAGAGAAUUGAGUUUUUAGUGAAUUUGCAAACUAAAGUGGUAUUGCUGAAUUUUUGGUACUUCAAAAACUAGUUAUGUUAUGCAAUAUUGUUUUCACUAAUUUGUGCAUAUCCAAUAGUACCAAUUUUUUGACAUGUUUAUUUGCUCUAAUAUGUCCUGGUUUUCAUUGCAAAUUCUCAAUUCUAAUUUAUUAGUGAACACUGAUUAAAUUUUGGUUGAAAAGUGUAUUGGUUUAUUUCGCUCAAACCAAUGUUUUGUUUGGUCAUCAAUUUUGAUUAUGAUUAUCAUUGUCUUUUGAGACAAAAAUUGGAAAGUGGCAUCAGUUUACUAAUUGAUCAUUUUAGUCCCUAUCGAAUAACUGAAUAACCAUGUUUCCUCUUUCGUGAACUCUAUUGUUCAAUGUCAAUAAUGACAUAUUUUUGUGUCUGAUUUAAUCUUUUGAGAAUCAUUGAAUAUCCAACAAAACGGUUAUUUAAUACUGUUCUAAAGGAUUAUUUUGAAAAAUCAGAAUUCUAAUUUAUAUGGUGAAUACUUUUAUCCCAAAGAGAAUUUCAAGAAAUCAUUUACCAACUAUAAAUUACUAUUAUAGCAACAUAAAAUACUUCUAACAUAUUUUCAUCUGGCCAAAGCUAUUGAAGCUAUAUGUAUUUUGUGUAUUUUAUGUUUUUGGCUAGCUAUGCAGAUAUUUUCUUUGUAUGAUUAGUUUCUGCCCAAAGGUGUAACAAUCAUGCAAUUUACAGUUGAUUCAAUCCUCCACAGCUCGACUACUUCCAUGAUGAAUCUUGCAGAAUCGAGAAUGAGUAGGUAAAUUUGCCAAUCUUUUACCUUAAUUUUCUCUAAGUUCUAAAUGGGAUUAAAAUUAUUGUUGAAAAUUUGAUGUUAUUGAGAUAUCUAAGUGUUUAUUUUAAUCGACCUUGUUUUAGAAUUAAAACAUAAAUUUUGAGUUUGGGUUCUCUUAUUAGGUUUCAUUUUACUUUAUGACAUAAUCUUUAACACAUAUGUGAGCCUUCUGUCAUACACUAAAAUAAAAUAAAACAUGUAGUCAUUGCAUAAGUUUUUAUUUAUGAAAUUUUUAAUUCUAACCUACUUUAAAAAGAAAAGAAAAAAUUUAUGUAUUUGAUCUUCAUUGUUUCAACUAGCCUAUAUUUUGUUAUAUGAAAACCACUUUCUCUAGUGUUUAAACUUGCAAUUUUGAGUGUUUGCCCAAGUGGGAGAAAUAAUGUAUUAUGGGCUUCACACUCAUCAAUUUUGCAUGGUUUUAAUGGUUCAUGGUUUUGGUAGAUAAAACGUACAUUAUCAUACUUGUUUAUAUUUUAUUUGUUAUAUAUGCAACUAAUCUUGCAGGAAAUUCUAGAAGGGUUAAUAAGUAUAUUCUGCUCAAAAGUGUUUUGCUUAUUAAUUCUUGUUUGUUUUUAAGCAAUUGGACUUGUGAUUUAUAUGUUAUUGAUGAAUAAUUAAUCUGCUCAAAAGUGUUUUCUUAUUCAAUCCAACUAUAAAUCAGUGAACAAUUAAACAUGGAAUUGACAAGAUUGUAUAUACUUCAUCUGCUCAAAAGUGUUGAAACUAUAUACGUUUGCCCUUGUAUUUUAUGUUUUAGCUAUGAAAACCUAAUAUAAUCAGAUUAUGUCCACAGAUGAUUCUGGAAUUUUAUGUUUUUGUUGCAAUCAGAAAACAUUCCGUAAAAGUUUUCUAUUUCUGUCAAAUGUUAGAUGAACAAAACUGACCAAAUGAUUUUGUAUAGUUUUUCAGUCACAAGAGUCACUUCCCUACAGAUAUCUAGAAUAAAGAUGUUGAGCUCACAAAUUUUAUCUUUUAGAUCCCAUGACUAAUGUUUUGCUAAUGGGAAUAUUUGAAAGGUAUCUGUUUCAUUUUGUAGACGAUCCCAUGACUAAUGUUUUGCUAAUGGGAGUGUUUGAAAGGUAUCUGUUUCAUUUUGUAGACAUUUUCAAAGUUUUUUUUAACUCUCUUAAUCGGUGGGAGUAAUAAUAAUUUAUAUAAUUUUGUCUCUUUUAAUCAGUGGGAGUAAGAGAUUACCUUUUGUGUUAAACAUUUGAAGUGUUAGUGGCUGAUAUUUUAAGAGUUUUUGUUUAAGUUUUGUUCAUAAGUUUCAUAAAAGGUCCUAAUUUUGUAAAUAGUAUGUUGUAUUUUACUUAUCCUCUUAUCAUAUUAUAAAUUGACAGAAAAUAUGAGCCAUGCUUGCAUGAGGCUCAGUUCAGGAGUUGAUCUUUUGCUUAUCAACAUGAAUUUAACAAAUGAUGUCAAGCAACAUUUUGCUCGUAAUUUGAUAUUCGUGGUAAUAGAGUAAACAUGUAGAAGCAAUUACAUGUUAUUUUCUAUAAUCCAAUAUUUAAACUACUAGUGACAAGUUGUUAAAGGUAUAGUUGCAAAUUUUGUGGGACUCAGUGAUCACCUACCACUUGGCCAAAUAAGGAUCAUGUUCUUGGACACUCAAGUGGGAGAAUGUAAGUUGUGAGUGUCAAAGAACAUGUGCUUAUUGUUUCUUGACAUACAGUAACUUGGUCAAUCCGAGUUAAUGGUUGAGAAAAUUAUGGAGCCUUAUUUGGUUAGGUUUAGGAGUCCUUAUUUAGUGCAAUUAAUUAUGAAAACCUUAUUUAGUUGACAAAGAGUUCGUUACCAUUUAGGACUAUAAUGAAAUCCUAAUUGAUUUGGAAUAUCCCUUUAAUCAGUUAAUAGGCCGGAUUAAAGGGAUGAGCGUCUAUAUAUUAGGAGGUCCCUGCACUCACAGCAUCAUCCUAUUCUAGUGCAAAACCCUAUUUUUGUGCACAAGGACUCUCAGCUGCUAGAGUGUAGAAGUUCCUCCUUGAAACCCUAGCAGUCAUGGCUUCUUCUUCUUCCUCCACUUCGGAAGAUAAGUUUAUUUCUCUUUUAAUUGUUUGAUUGGUUUAUUGUAAUUAUUUUGGUUUUAUCUGUGAUCCUAGUAACUUGUUGAUUUUCAGAUUACAUCUUACAAAUGCUUAUCAUUCUCUCAAUCAAUUUCCUGCGAAAACCGCUUCCAACAAGCGUGAUUACUAUUAUGAAACUUCCCACAGAAACACUUUGCAACCCUUUAUAUCUUUUACACCAGCUGCAUCACCCCUUAAACCGCCAUCAACCCACUAUAAUCAUGUCCUAUCUCCCUUUAGUUCAUCUUCAUCGUCCCCUAACCCCAAGCCUCCGUCGUCUUUGUCCAAACCACCACAAGUUUCUUCAAUCAAUACAUCUUCAUUAUCCCCUAAAUCAUGACAACCUUUUUCCUUCGAUUCGUGUUCAACAUCCCUUAGAACCCCAACAUAUUCAACUAAGCUGCCCCAAUCCACUUUUGUUAAUUCAUCUGAAUCACCCCUAAAACCCCCAACAUCUUCAUUCAAACCGUCGCAAUCUUUCUCUAGUUCUUCAGCUAGCCCUCCUAUACUUUCUUCUUCGUCAUCUACGUUUCAUACUAAAACAUCUAAUAAUGUCUCGUCCUCUAAGCCACCUCAGGCUUCAUCUGGACCAAAUUCACCAUCCCCAAAGCCUCCAACAUCUUCUCCCAAACCAUCUUCAUCUUCCUCUACACCAACAGCUUCUUCCAAACCAUCUUCCUCUUCCUCAUUUACUUCAUCGUCCCCUAACCCUCCAACGUCUUCGUUUAAACCUCAGAAAUCUUCUUCUCUGAAUGCAUCAUCUCAGUUUUCUCCUAAAUUAUCUACAUCCGCCUCUAACCCAUCUCCGGCAUCUGAUUUGAAACCAUGUCCAUCUUCCUCUACUGGACGUCCCGUAUCUUCCACUAAGCUCCGUCCAAUGUUUAAGCCAGCUCUAUCUCACGCCUCUUCAGAUGUAUUAGAUCAGAUGGGGAAGAAAAGUUAUGUAUGGGUUGAGAAGGAUUCAUUACCUAUCUUCGCAAUUCCUGACAAUAUAAAAGAUUUGAUCAAAAAUGACAUUGCGCCGAAGGUUCUAAACCAGCCUCUGUCUCCCGCGACUUAUAAGGAUUAUUUCGCUGCUCUCUUAUAUGCUGAAGAGUUCUUCUAUGAGGUACGCUUGAAUAUUUGCCCUUUCGUAAUGCCUUUUUCCUCUUACUUGUUGCUUACAAAAACCAUGACCAAUAUCUAACCUUUUACUUGAGAAAAUUUUGAAAGAUACGAGGGAUUCUAUCUGCUUAUGAAGUCUCGUUAAGUUGUGUUCUUAGUACUCUAUUGCUGCCAUUGGUUGGUGGUAUGAAUUACAGAUUGAAUCAUGCUUUCGUUUGAAACAGAAAUGGAC